CCUUGUGAUCCACCUGCCUCAGCCUCCCAAAGUGCUGGGAUUACAGGCGUGAGCCACCGCGCCUGGCCAAGCUCUGGUUAUUUUCUUACAUAGGAAAAAACCUAUCGCUGACUUAGCAACCAAAGCCUCCAUCGUUAGGCAAGGAAUAAAAUAAAACCAGCACGCUUUUUCCACUGUGAUUUUUAAAAGUCAUUAAAAAAUAUCUUUUCCCUUAUGUACAGAAAAAUUGGAACAGAAAAAUAUCUAACUUGCUGAGCAUUUGAUGGGAAAAAGUAAAAGAUAACUUCCAUUUGGUACACAACUUAUUGUACAUAGAGCUAUGAUUUGAGGAGGCAUCUAAUUUCUGAACAAAUUCACCAAGAAAUACCAUCACUUAAAGUCAUUAUCGCAAUCAUGCUGCAGUGAACACUCUAUACAAAAUGGCCAGGUCAUUAAACAUCAAAGAUGGAAAACAAGCCAGCAAUCUCUUCUGUUCUCUUCAAAGUGAAUGCAAAAUUGUUAAGGUAAUAAAAGCAAGAGGGGAAAAUCCCCAAAUGGCAUUCUUAGUGAUGAACAGAACUCACAGAUCAACAGAGGAGAGAGGGGCAGGAUGCUGGCGCUGUGUUCCUUUCUUUCUGCAUAAGGAAUGGUGGACAGAGCCUGUUAGGCGUGAUCCUCAAAAGAGGCAUUUAAUGAAAAAGAACAAGAAAAACUUUUCCUAUGAAUAAUGAUCUCCUCUGCUUCUAUGGCCACUCUCCCCACUUCAGAACAGCAGCCAUGUGGAGAAUUAAGCAGAAGGUCCCUGCCCUCCUCAAGGUUAACAGAAUAGUAAGUUACUGGAAUAGCUUGGAGUGGGUGCCCUGGGUGUGCUGGGAUGGAAGGGCAACGAUCCAGGAGGCUCUCAUUCUCCCCUUGCUUAACUACUUUAUUCUGCUCUCUCCAACCUUCCCAGGGUAGGGGUGAGGGCUGCUGGCUCCUGCAGGCCCCAAAAGGGCUGAGGACCAAUCAGCCUCAUUUCAGCUUUUAUUUUACAGUUUACAAAGUGCUUUCACAUUUACUAUGCCACCGAAUAGGCUGUAAACAGACCUGUCGUUUUAUAAACGAGGAAGGAAAAGGCAUGUCCAGCUGCCCCUGACCUGGCAGGUCAUUUGUCUCUGCUAGGCUCUCUGCAUAACUCAUCACUUAAUGCACGUGGGUUCCAGUCUACUCUACCCCUGACAGUGAUAUAAGUCUGGGGAGCCUAUGAUUCUUAAAGCCCAGAAGCAAGACUUUCCAAGAAGGAUAAAGAUUUCUGAAAGUAGUGAUACCCUAGGACCCAGAAAACAUAAGCUUCCUCUCUACAGUUUGGAUUUGGGGUGUGUGUGUGAGAGAGGGAGACAAUGCCAGUAUGUAUGUGGCAUUUAGUAGCCCCUCACUGUUUCAGUAUUGUCCUUAUUUAAUAUCACAUACAUGUAUACUUGCGAUGCAGUAUGAACAGGGUGUAUUUAAGAAAUGGCUUCAGUUUCCAUUGGUAAACAGGAUUAAUUAGUAAUGAUCACAUUUGUUAGAAGACCUCAGUGAACACUGAUGUAGGCCUAGUACAUUUGACAAAGUGGUUUAUGAUCUAAGCAGCCAGCCUCUUACUAGUAUAGAACAUACAGGUUGAUUUCACUUAGGUGGUCUUAUUUCUGUAAGACUCCACCAUCUUUCCACCCCAAAGAGUUUCAGGUAAAACCAUGUUAUGUCAAACUGGGACUUUGUGGUCUCAAACAUUAAGUAGCCCAUGGCCUACAGUUUGGCAUUUAAAAAUAAUUACACACAACAGAUGACAAUGCCAUUUGUUUCAUGGUAUUUGUUAUAAUGACAAUUUUCUCACAAUGCCAUUGUUUGGCUUAAACAUUCUUAGAAGAAAUGUUCCAUAUAGCCACAAAAUUAUAAGUCACACUGUACCAUGAUUAUGUAUGUCUCAGGAAUUUAGAUAGGUGUUAUUUCAACUGGCAAUCUAUAAAUCACAAAAUGAUUUACCAUCAAACCACAUGGCUCACCAAAGUGACUAAGAGAUACAAAAAUACAAGAACAAAAAUCUUAACAUGUAGAACUUCGUAACAACAAGUUGGUCAUUUUAUGAUAUAUUGUGAAACAAAACACUUACUAUAUUCCAAAAUUAGAAGGUGGGCAAAUAUGGGGGUGGGGAGGAGGCCAUACAUUUAACAUGGUGCUCAGACCCUCGAGUGUCCACAAUAAGAGUUUCUUGAGGAGGAUAUUUUUAUUUCCCAAGCAUGCAAAUGGAAUUCAUAUUAUGAGAAAUUGGUAAGUCAGAAUACAAAUGCUCAACAACCCAAAUCUGCUCAAAGACACAAAUUUGUGUGUUAGUCACUAAUAAUAAUGAUGACGAUGACAACAUUGAAUGCCUGCUGAGAAUCAUGCAUUUCACACACACACACACACACACACACACACACACACAAUUUCUAGUUCUCAUAACACUGUAAAAUUUUUUCAUUUUUAAACAAAUGAGGAAAUUGACCCAAUAAAUAAGUUUCUCAAGGUCACACAGCUGGUAAAAAAGUUGAACUGAGAUUCAAAACCUGGCCUAUCUUAUUCCAAAACCUCAACCUUCUUCACUCUUUGGUCUGGCUGCACAUGUCCACAGGUGCAUGUUUAUCCAUCUGUAAAUGGCUUAGAGAUCCUAAAUCUCUCAAUAUUACUGGAACCAGCUGCUUUGAAAUGCCAAAGGGAAGGAGGAUGUUUCCCAAGGCCCCCAUCAAUGGACUGUGCUGUAGGUAACUGUGCUGACAUCAUGGUGAGUUCUACCUUUGCCCUUGGAGCCCUGAUUGCUGUUUUCCACAGUCAGUUAACUGCCUCAGUUGGUUUCUUGAAUUGUGCUAAAUUUUGAUCACAGCCAGCCCCAUAUAUUUGUCCUGAGUCGGGGAGCAUGAGCACAGGCAGGGGACAGGAAGGUGUGGCCAGCACCUUCUCCUCUCACCUCAUUAACAGAACCCAUCUUGGCUCCCUGCCUCUGCUUCCAGUCACACUGCCCCUGCUGAGUGAGCAGCUGUGCUCUGUUGACCUCCCGGCUACUUAGCUAAAGGGCAAUCAUUCCUUUCAAACCUCCUUCUUUUCCCCUCUCAAGUCCUCAAUAAUCCCUGAACCACCUGAGCAUGUUCCUUCAUGUUCCAUCUGGAGGGAAAUGGUCACCCGCCCUUACGUAAAACAUUGAAGAUACAUGAUCAGGAGAGCUAUCCCAGGUGUCCCAGGCAGGCCCCGAGGACAAAGAGUAGGACCACAUCUUAGGACUGUGCCUUGCACACCCUCCCCAGGCGCACCCUCCCCAGGAUCCCCAUGAUCCCAAUUUUUCAUCUCCACUCGGCAAACUAUGCUUAGAAGGCUGACUGUGCACACAGUGCCCACAAAGGAGCUGUGAGCUGCCAUAUUGGCCUUUAAUCAAGAUUUUCUUGUUUUUUUUUUGUGGGCCUGAGUCAUCUCUGCACAUAAGCCUUUUGCUCUCCCUAAGCUCACAAGUAAUGAGGGUGUGGACACUCCUGGCCCAGCCUAACACUGGCUCCUGGUGAAUAAACCCAAGAGGGUGUGGCCCCUUGGGCACCCUCUUACCCUCUCCUCCUUAAUCUGAAGCUUCACGCCGGCCUGGGUCUCCCUACCCAUCUUCGAAGCCCAGGCAGUCCGAGACGGUGCCUCUGCCUUGUGUGGAAACAUCUUUGUUAGUGUCACUCCUCUGCUCAGCAUCCCCUUGUUCAUUCCAUCUCCCUCCAGU
rnacentral:lncRNA from 1 species